AUUUUAGAUACAUGUGCUAGCUAGCUUUAGCAAGACAGCCAUUUUAUUCCAAAAAAUGUUUUAAAUGUAAUUUCCACUACAGAAUGAUAUUUAACACAAUAUGUGGUGAUAAGAAUCAGAAUUAUUCUCUGCAUGCAUUGCAAGGGUGGCCUUAACAAGGCAUGAAAUGACACAUAUUUAAAUAUAUACAUAUUAGGACCAAAGCUUCACUUUUAGAAAAAUGUACCAGACUGUGAGCAGCAGCCUUUCAGAAGGUACUGAUAUGUACAGGUACAUUCUAGGUAGUAAUAUGUACCUUUAAGCUACUAAUAUUAAGAGUAAGGUACAAUUUUCCUUUUAGCUUUUGUUCCUUAAGGUACUGUCCCUGUGACAGAUUUGUACCUUUGUUUUUGGGAGUGUCGAGUAAAAAAAAAAUGUUCCUGAAGACUUCCUUAUCCUCUUUUGUCGCUGGUCAUUUAAUCCAAUUGAGCUCUUAGCUGUAGUCUAAGAAUAGUUGUUCAAUUUGCAAAAAUGUUUCGAGGUCCCACAGACAUCAGUUGCUUCUUAGUGAUUAGAUGUGAGUAGUUUAUCAGUAAAUGCAUUUUUGAAUGGUUGUACGAAACUACAGUAUGCUGAAGCAGAGAUUGUGCAUGGCUGGGUCACAUGAGGCAUUUUGUAACAGAAGAUAAACGAAACAUGUAGUGAUCCACAGGAUUAAAGUGUGUGUGCUGGGACUGAAGGCAUCAGAGGGAGAUCAGGACCUUAAGACAUCGAAUGCUAGAAGGUAUCUGUCUCUCGAUUCCGCAGGAUGAGCAGCACGUUUGUGACCCUUGCUGAGGUGCUGGAAGCCAGAGGAGGACCGCUGGAAGAGGACGAGGUGUGGUCGCUCCUGCUGGGCUCAGCUGAAUCCCUCUUAGACCUUUCCUACAAAGGUCACAAUAUCUGCAACAUUAUAACUCCCGCAUCACUGCUCUUGUCCACGACUGGGACGCUGGCAUUCAAGAACUGUGCUAUGACAGAUGAGGUGUGUGCCUUCACAGCCCCAGAGAUGCUGCAAGGACGUGCCAUCUCCACCAAGCUAGCCAUGGAGAAGGUCAGUGUCAUUCAGCGAUGCAUGGCAUGUAGCACUCUUGUCAGAGAUUGAGACACACACACACAAGCAUAUUGUGUAGCCUAUAUAUUAUACAUAGCAAAUC
ensembl:lncRNA